ensembl:lncRNA
GAACCCAUCUAGACUUCAAAAUCUUUAACCAUCACGAGUGAACGAGAACGAUUCAAGUUUUCUCAUUUGAAGACUCCAGUCUCAGGGAGAUUUAUUAAUCUGAAUACAUCUACCGACGUACACAUGGAUCGAUUCUGCAGUACAAUCUUUCUUCUUCUCGUCAGAGAAGCUUUGAUCAGUAACACUCUUCAAGAAGAACAAAUGAACGUCCAUCUGGAACCAAAGUAUGCUGAAGUUUGUGAAGGAGCCUCAGUCACAAUGACGUGCACUUUUCAGCCGAAUGAAAACUACAUAUUGAGCUGGCUCUAUAGCCAGACACCUAUUUUAGACUGUAGAUCAGCUUACAAGAUACCUGAAGAACAGCGUUUUUUAAAAAAGAAAAAAGAAGAUUGGUCAACACUCAACAUUACUUUUAUCAAAGCCAAUGAGAGUGGAUGGUACUUCUGCCUGGUCACACAAGAUAUCCCAGUUCUCAUACAACAUUGCAGUAAUGGGAUACAAGUUCUGGUAACAAACACAUGUAGGAUCACAGCCUGCAUAAAACCAAAAGACAAUAUAUAGUCCAUCAGCCAAUGGUGAUGAAAGCACAGGGCUCACAAAUGUCAACACAUAUUUAAUGAUCAGUUUAUUCUGUCUGUAUGAUAUUUCAUGGUUUAUUUUGCUUUUCGACAGUUUGACAGAGAAUUUUAUUGCUAUUAUUAUUAUUAUUAUGUGCAUAUAAAAUCUUAGUCCUUGUGUUACAUAUCUCUGUACUUUGCACACUUGCCUCAGUUCUUGCUGAAUUUGCACAAGGACGAUGACCACUUGUUUCACUAUUAUUUACAUUAACAUUUAAAUCAGCUUUUACUCUAUGUAAUGCAUAAUGUUUGCAAAUGUUAUUUUUUUUUAUUAAAGACUGAGAUACACUCACCCUUGCA